CCUACGGGGGGCAGCAGUGAGGAAUAUUGGUCAAUGGACGAGAGUCUGAACCAGCCAAGUAGCGUGAAGGAUGACUGCCCUAUGGGUUGUAAACUUCUUUUAUAUGGGAAUAAAAUGUUCCACGUGUGGGCUUUUGUAUGUACCAUAUGAAUAAGGAUCGGCUAACUCCGUGCCAGCAGCCGCGGUAAUACGGAGGAUCCGAGCGUUAUCCGGAUUUAUUGGGUGUAAAGGGAGCGUAGGUGGAUUGUUAAGUCAGUUGUGAAAGUUUGCGGCUCAACCGUAAAAUUGCAGUUGAAACUGGCAGUCUUGAGUACAGUAGAGGUGGGCGGAAUUCGUGGUGUAGCGGUGAAAUGCUUAGAUAUCACGAAGAACUCCGAUUGCGAAGGCAGCUCACUGGACUGCAACUGACACGGAGGCUCGAAAGUGUGGGUAUCAAACAGGAUUAGAUACCCCAGUAGUC
rnacentral:rRNA from 1 species